GCCAGCAUGGCUUAGUGGUUUGAGCAUUGGACUACAACUCUGGAGACCAGGCUUCGAUUCCCGGUCAGCCA
rnacentral:tRNA from 1 species